UCCUACGGGAGGCAGCAGUGAGGAAUAUUGGUCAAUGGUCGGGAGACUGAACCAGCCAAGCCGCGUGAGGGAUGAAGAUACAGAGUAUCGUAAACCUCUUUUGUCAGGGAACAAAGGCGGGGACGUGUCCCCGGAUGAGUGUACCUGAAGAAAAAGCAUCGGCUAACUCCGUGCCAGCAGCCGCGGUAAUACGGAGGAUGCGAGCGUUAUCCGGAUUUAUUGGGUUUAAAGGGUGCGCAGGCGGUCUGUUAAGUCAGCGGUCAAAGCCCGGGGCUCAACCCCGGCCCGCCGUUGAAACUGGCAGU
rnacentral:rRNA from 1 species